AAAUGUAUGCAUGUAUUGGUUGACAUUGCAAGUGCGUCGGCAAAGGAUAAACAAGUUUUUAGAUCCAGAUUAUUGACGAGAGAACCAUCAGCAAUGGCUUCAAGAUCAUCCCAAUAUCGGAAGCGUCGUCGCUUUAUGGAAGAAGUGGAGAGAGAAAUAAACAAUGAUAUCAAUAAUAUGGAGACUUCCUCACCUGUCAUGGUUCCGGCAUCGACGAGCAGGAUGUUCACAGGACUUUCUUCCUUGCAGCAAAGCAACUUUCGAAGGCUACUUUGCUGUCUACUUUAAACUAGACCGCUGCGGGUACCUCGGCAGCGCUGAAACCAACAUCCGUGGCCAAAGCAGCUUGUUUCUCAUCGUUUAUUGGCGAUUCCGUAUCAUCUCCCUGAACCCUGCCUGUUGCUGCUGAAGCGCGCCGUGACCAGCCGCAAUCUGCAGUGACGCUGGUGGGGUUGGAGGAAGUCUGGCUCGAAGCUUCUCUCGACAACGCAUCGUUGCCUCUCGUUGGUUAGCGUUGCGUGGCUCGUUGCGGACGCGCCGAACAGUUUCAGGUUGUGUCUCUUCGUAUUACUCAAUGAUUUGCGACGCCAGGGCAACUCGUUCAUUGUAUCAUGCUCCCUGUAGUUGAACCGUGAUUCGCCUAGAAGCUUCGUAGAUAUGGCUCCAGUUCUCGACCUCGCGACAGGUGAGGUUGGAGGGUGUCCGUCGAAUCGAACCUGAUGAACCAUGGCCGAUAAGCUUCUGGAUUUUGCAGCAAAGCGCGGGCACUCCAACAACACGUGUUCCUCGUCCUCCGAAAUGCCGAUGAUCCACUGUCCUGACCUGUUUAAGCCUGUGCCUGGGCCAUAUGGAAGGUCGUGUCUCUGUGUUAAUGCGUUAAUAGCUGACGGAAGACGAAUUGCAUAGUACUGAUAGCAACUUAGGUGGGAAUGUAGAGUGUAGCUUUAGCUUGGAUGAAGAUACUAUCAAUACUCACAAUGACAGCACUGCAACUGUUGACGAAAAUAAUUUGGAUGAUAUAGAAGAUGAACAGGAAGAUUGUACUGAAGAUUUGUAUGACGCUUAUAACUAUUUGAAUGAUUUUCAAAGUUUGAAAGAAGCUUUAAGAUAUUUGGCAAUAAUGGGUCAUCUUUCUCGCAACUUUCUCAACUUGCUUCUAGCAAUUUUGAGAAAAUUUGGUCAUCCUGAACUUCCUAAAGAUGGUCGUACUUUACUUAAAAUUCCUAAAGUUAGCCAAGAGAUUCAGCAUAUAGCAGGUGGACAAAUGUGGUAUUCAGGGAUAGAAGUUGGCCUUCGAAAUUAUUUUAGGAAUCAUGUACCAGAGAAAAAUAAGUUUUCGCUACAUAUUUUUAUUGAUGGGCUUCCUCUCUUCAAAAGUAGUGCUACACAAUUUUGGCCAAUUCUUUUUAAAGUAAAAGAAAUUCCCGAUUGCCCGGUAAUGAUCGCAGGUGUAUUUGUGGUCAGAAAAAACCGACCGACUUAGAGCCUUAUUUGCGACAGCUCGUAGAUGAAUUAAACAAUUUGCAAGUAAUAGGCAUGCUGUUUGGAGAGAAAGUUGUAAAAAUUUUUGCCAAGGCUUUUGUCACCGAUACCCCUGCGCGGGCCUUUAUAAAAUCGGUAAUGUACUUUCCGGCAAAACAUGGAUGCACGAAGUGUACUCUCGUUGGAGAGUUUGUAAAACCGGAGCGCAAAGUAAUAUUUUGUUCACCACAACCUGCUCCACCACGCACAGAUGAAAGUUUUAGACAAAGACACGAUAUA